AUACCAUGAUGUGGGCAUUUCCUUAGCAACUUCUUAAAUCUUUCUCAUGCGUCAUACAAUGAUUCCCCUUCUGUCUGGUAGAAAUUAUUAGUUUCCCCUCUCGACUUU